GCUUUCGGGGUGUGGUAGCAUAUAAGCCUUCCAAGCUUAAGGCCCCUACGGGGCGAAAGUA
rnacentral:tRNA from 1 species